CUAAUUUGUGAACACUUUAUCAUGGAAUUCAUUUUGAAUUAUUAGUUACACGAAACAGGCUGUUCACUUAGGAUAAACAUCACUUUGGUUGGAAAGUCUCUUGCAUAAGAUGGAUGAGCCCAGAUGAAAGUUCAGUCCUAGACCUGAAGGAAGACGGUUUCAUUUUAGUUGCCAGAUAAUGAUGAUGUUCCGGUGGCGGUCCAGGGAUCAGAAAGUGAGAUGUUUUAAGUUUGUAUUACAGAUGGAUGAGUCCAGAUGAAAGUACAGUCCUAUUCCUUAAGGAAUAUGGUUUCAAUACAGUUGGCAGAUAAUGAGGAUGCAAAAAGAGCAGAGACACAGAAAACUACGCCAUUCACACAGAUGUUUCAGUUGAGAUGGUAGAUGAGUAGCAACUCCAUGGAAGAUGUUUACUUAGAUCUUCAACCAAGUCCGAGGCUUUGCCAUGUAAUUUAUAAAACAGUGCCAAUGUUUUCAUGAAGGGGAGUAAGACUUGUGGUAUAAGAUAUCUUAAAUACAAAUUUUUUUCCAGUAGCAGGCCAGUCCCAAGUUUCAGUCCAGAUGGCAGAUGAGUAGCAACUCCAUGGAAGAUGUUUACUUAAAUCUUCAACCAAGUCCGAGGCUUUGUCAUGUAAGCAAUCAAGCACCAAGGAUAGCAGCUGGAAUGAAGAUUAAUUAUUACAUUGAUCUUCAAACAAGUCUGAGGCUUUGUCAUGAAAGAAAUAAUGCAAGUAUAUUCAAGCCAAAUAAUUCUGUACAUUAUCAGGGAAAAUGUGAUAAAGUCUAUAAGCAUUAUCUAUAAGGCAGCAUACAUUUUGGUUGUUUUGCACAUUUACAACACACAAAAAAGAUUUUUAUCAGUUUAGAUGUUUUUUUGGGACACAAAUAAUAUUUAAUGCCAUGAAAAGUCAAUCCUGAUUGAAUUUUUACUUCAAGGGAGACUAGUACAAUAAACUGCAAGAAUGUUUCUUUCAGUGGGAGAUAACUCACUAUUAUGCAAUCUGAAUACAGAAUAGAUUAAUAAAAGUUUAGGCUGCAAUUUAACAAAUUUGUAUAAUAUAUAAUUUG